GACACUUUGGCCGGAUAAUAAUGUCUUGUUCAGCGUUCGGUUGCGCGGCAAGACACUAGAAGGAAUCGGCAGUUCAGUUUUUCCGACUUCCUUUCGAUUAUGCCAGGCUGAAGCAAUGGUUGGUGAACAUGAGGAGAGAGACCAGCAGAUGGAACCACGAAAAGUCCCGUCUGCAGUUCACACUUUGAGGAAGAUCAGUUUUUUAGAGACAAGCAGGUAUCCAAACUGAAAACUGAAUGAGCAGAGCCUCCAGAAGGAAGACCUGGUGUAAAGAGCCUCCAGGAGGAAGACCUGGUGUAUAGAGCCUCCAGGAGGAAGACCUGGUGUAUAGAGCGGUGUAUUUGGUGCCAUUUCAUCUGGAUGUGGAAACCAGACAGCGUUGACCACAUCCAAAGUUCUCAAAUAUGUUUUGAUUGUAAUAAUGCCAGAAAAUCAAUUUUGGUUCAGCUUCUUCUGCUGAAAGGAUGGACAAACUUUUAGCACUUGGUAGUCAGAGGUUCAAGUUAUUAUGGUUGACUUAGUUUCUGCUCUAGUUUGAUAGGUGAUAG